AACGCGAAGAACCUUACCUGGUCUUGACAUCCACAGAACUUUCCAGAGAUGGAUUGGUGCCUUCGGGAACUGUGAGACAGGUGCUGCAUGGCUGUCGUCAGCUCGUGUUGUGAAAUGUUGGGUUAAGUCCCGCAACGAGCGCAACCCUUAUCCUUUGUUGCCAGCGGUUAGGCCGGGAACUCAAAGGAGACUGCCAGUGAUAAACUGGAGGAAGGUGGGGAUGACGUCAAGUCAUCAUGGCCCUUACGACCAGGGCUACACACGUGCUACAAUGGCAUAUACAAAGAGAAGCGACCUCGCGAGAGCAAGCGGACCUCAUAAAGUAUGUCGUAGUCCGGAUUGGGGUCUGCAACUCGACUCCAUGAAGUCGGAAUCGCUAGUAAUCGUAGAUCAGAAUGCUACGGUGAAUACGUUCCCGGGUCUUGUACACACCG
rnacentral:rRNA from 1 species